CCUACGGGGGGCAGCAGUGGGGAAUAUUGGACAAUGGGGGGAACCCUGAUCCAGUCAUGCCGCGUGUGUGAAGAAGGCCCUCGGGUUGUAAAGCACUUUCAGUGAGGAAGAACGCCUGGUGGUUAAUACCCAUCAGGAAAGACAUCACUCACAGAAGAAGCACCGGCUAACUCCGUGCCAGCAGCCGCGGUAAUACGGAGGGUGCGAGCGUUAAUCGGAAUUACUGGGCGUAAAGCGCGCGUAGGUGGCUUGAUAAGCCGGUUGUGAAAGCCCCGGGCUCAACCUGGGAACGGCAUCCGGAACUGUCAAGCUAGAGUGCAGGAGAGGAAGGUAGAAUUCCCGGUGUAGCGGUGAAAUGCGUAGAGAUCGGGAGGAAUACCAGUGGCGAAGGCGGCCUUCUGGACUGACACUGACACUGAGGUGCGAAAGCGUGGGUAGCAAACAGGAUUAGAUACCCUGGUAGUC
rnacentral:rRNA from 1 species